UCAUUUACAAGAUACACUUUGAUUUGAAAAUUUCCAAUGCGAGUUACAACAAAAAUGCUAUUUUAUAAUACAAAAAAAGUUUGUUUACAUCUUCACUAGCCCAGAACUAACAUUCAGUGGAAGUUACUCACAAGAAAGAUUUUGUUUUUUUUUUCGCAUGAGUCUUGGACACUGAUCUGUCUUGGAACAUUUUUGAACUUCCGCAGAUGAUUACUUCAAAAGUAUGAUUCACCAAAUUCUGAAAUUUGGAACAUUUAUUCAGAAAAAGACCACAAGCAUUUUGGUACAUAAUUCAUAAUUUGGUGAAUCUUAAUUCAAGAGUUACAUGCGAUUUUCUUUUUUUCGCGUGCGUCUUGGAACAUUUUUGAACUUCCGCAGAUGAUUACUUCAAAAGUAUGAUUCACCAAAUUCUGAAAUUUGGAACAUUUAUUCAGAAAAAGACCACAAGCAUUUUGGUACAUAAUUCUUAAUUUGGUGAAUCUUAAUUCAAGAGUUACAUGCGAUUUUGUCUUGGAACACGAUACAUGUGUCCAAAGGUAUACAAAUAGCUGUGUUCCUUUGGCCUUAAGUAUCUACUGCUAAGUACUUUUGGUUGUAAACAACUCCAUUUCUUCUAUAGAAAAAAUAGCCGUUUUUUAUUAUCACUUGAUCCAUAUAGAUCAUUAAUUAAAAUGUAUUACAACAACUACAUGAGAUCUUGCAAGAUCGCGAUUCGUGAUCCUGAUGAAAAGCAAGAUCACGAUACGUGAUCCUGAUGAUGGAAUUGUUCAAAAUUGUUUACAAUGUCUUUCUACUGGUAGCAAAUAACGUUUGAGCAGAAUAAUUAGCAAUAUAAAAAUUGUUUUUGGUUGAAAAAUGACUAAAAACAGUGGAAAAUUCUCAAAAUAAUUGAAAAAAUUUUCAAAAAAAAUUUUGUUCGAAGUCGUACCGACAAAUCGAAAAACUAAUGACACCAAUCGAUUUCUCAGGUCCGAAAUAGGGCGAAACAGUUAAUCGCGCACCUGUCUCAAAAAUUUUUUUCAAAAAACUUGCACAGUGUUAUUUAAUAGCCUGUUUUCACUACAGCCCAAAUGAGAUGAUUUCGCAAAUUACACAAAAAGUUUUUUCACUGCAAAUUAUCUCAUUUCGACUGUCAAGUGUCAACGCUUUGAAAUGAUUGAAAAAAUUAGUUUGACACUAAAAAUAAAAUAAAAUCAAAUUUUUUCAAAAUAAUAAAGAAGACUUAAAGUAUGAAAUGCCUCUAUAUUUACUUCGUUAUAAUAACUGGUCCAUUUAACCAAAUGAAUUAACCCAAAGAAGUUCUGAGGUUUGUAAUUUCUCUAUAUCUACCCUAUAUAAAUAAUAUUCAGCUUCCAGCCUUUUUUUCUUCCUUAUUCGGAGGAUUAACGAUCUUUGUGUUGAAGGGAUAGAGAACUCAUUACCUAGAGACCAGACAUUGGAACAUAAAAGUGCACCUUGGAUGCUUUUGGUAUUUGUGGCAUUAUACCCAACUGUGGAUUUGAAGGAUUUUAAUACAAAAAUGUAUUUUUUUAGUAAAUUGUAUUUAAAAACUUAAAAAGUACAAAUCAUUCAAUAAAGUGGGCAACUUCCCGCGAUUGGGGUACCAGUCCAGUCCCUAGAGGUUACAUAUACGUACUUCAUGAUCGAAGAGAUCAUGAUUCCUCACGUACAUUAUUUUCUUCACCCUAUUGUAGAAUGCAGAUACGCCUGGCAUGUGAGACUCGCUGGAAUGUCAUCAGAAAGCGGCAGAAAGCUUCCCUUUUUAUUCGAUUCUCCAGGGCUACCCAUACAAUUUGGCGAAAAGAAUUUACACAUUCCAAUUUAAACAAGAAUCAUAAAUUAAUAUUUAUUUGCAUUGAAUUUUCUAGACUUAUUUACAUUCAACAUUAAUAAUGCCGACGACCCAUAUUAAACAAAAAUGCAUUUUUGUAAUUUGAUAGAGCCUAAUCACAAAACACGAAACAAUUCAAAGUAUGGAAUCCCUUCUUGCUGUUCCUUGAAGGCAGAGGAUGAUGAAGAAAGUCAGAGAUUAAUGAUAGCCACCCUGAAAGUCACACUUAAUUUUUCGAAUUGUCCGAUUUAUUGGCAUAAUUUCUCUUGCCCAUAACAGGAGGAUGCCUUCUGUCGAGGAGGGUUGGGGCCCACUGCAGAAAUGAACGAAAUAAUGACUAUCGUGGAGGUUAGAAUCGAUUGUUCAAAUUUUUUCAAGAAUUCCAGAGUCCUUAUUAGGAGGCCACAUUUACGGUUAUUACGGUUGUUUCAAAUAUAGUUCUGUCGACCGCCCCAUAAUAAC